CCUCGCGCCGCCACCAUUCUCCUCUUCAUCUCCCUCGUUUUCCUUCUUCUCUGUGAACCAACGAACACCACCACCGUACGUAUCCUCUUCAACCUCGCCAUGGCGCCGGAGCUACAGACCUCCCCUCGCCGAGCCGAGACCAGCAGAAGAUCCGCCUCGUCGUCCUCUCCAUCCCCGUUCAAGGAAUCGACCGGGGGCUCUCCGAAUCAACGGCAAAAUCGCCGAUUCCCUCUCCGACGCCGGCGAGAUAAUCCUUGAUUCCGGCUACUCCAGUCCAUCUCCGGCCUCCCCGACCUCUCCAUGACCAUCCUGGUGCUCGACCCCGGCGGUGCUUCGGUGAUCCCAUGAACUCUGUGUCGACCGUUUCAGGUUCAGCGCGGCGACGCGCACGCCCGACGCCCUCCCCCUCGUCCCGUCUCGGUCGUAAUCACCAGGGCCGUGCUCCACAGGUGUUUCCGCCAUGGCCAUGUUGGUGAAGGUCGUCUGCUCUUUUUAUUUGUUCUUUUGCUGCGCGUCAAUUCUGUUUGCAAGAUCUACACUGUAGCCCGUCUGGUCCAACCUUUGCAGAUCAAACCCAUCGGCCCAAGUUCAAAUCCCACCUGCGCGUUGCACUUGUUUUUGGGUUUUCGGAUGAGCCCACUGACUCAAGAUCUACUUCAAAUAAACCGGCGCAUCCAUCCUGUCAAGCCUUUGCUUCUUUCCGGAUAGGACCACGAAGUGAUGUUGUGAGAUACGACGAGUUCUCCGACAAGUUCUUCUGCAGCUUUUCACAGGCGAGCCCACCCCUUCACCUAUUUUACUUUUACAUGCUCUUUUGAUCUAUUGCUAUCCUUAUGUUGCGAUUCUCGUUGUGUCACGUGCCCUAUCCACCCGUUACCUAUAUGUCCGAGAUACACCUCCUCGCCCUACCUAUUGUUUGUUGUUUGCCGACUUUGCGAGUCGUAGGCGAGUUUAGGGUUUU